rnacentral:misc_RNA from 1 species
AAUUCUCAAAACCCUUUUCUUUGGAAAGGAUUUUGGACUUGGAGGCCUUUUGCUGGUUUCGCCUCGAAGCGAGCUCCUCCUAAAUGAAUCAGUGGGGUUUGCUUUGCGGAUCCUUGACGUGAUAAGUCGUUUCUACGUCUUGGAUUUUUUGCACUGUACACCUGCUUCUAACCGUCUCAUUGACAAUGAUGGUGCUCCGGUCACCGCCGAUUCGUCGGUCGGGAGGCUGGACCCACAAAACGAA